ensembl:lncRNA
UUCUGACUUCAGAUUUCAGUAAAAAAAAAAAAUUAAAAAGAUAAAUUAUGAAAUAAUAUGACAUUAAUAUCUUCUAACUAAAUGUACAAUUUAUAGCUUGCCAUGAGAAAUUCAAGUUGUUGCUGUUUUUGUUUUCCAGCGUUUGGCAAUGCGGCAGUGAAUCAUGCUCUAACUUUAUUUGUUAAUCAUGGAGAGUCUGCCAAAAUAAGAUGCAACUACAGCCGAACAGAUGACACAGAAAUCAUGACAGUGGAUUUAAAAGCGUUAAAUCAGACACGCAUGUGUUCAUACAUACAUUUGAAUUCAUGGAAAAAACAAAGCUGCAAAGAUCACAUCAGAUUCAUAUGGAAUCCAGAGGCUAAGGAAAUAUCAUUUGAGCUAUUAAAUCUCCAUAUUAAGGAUACCGGCAAAUACACCUGUAUUGUGAGGAGGAAUGCAAAACCACCUGAAGUGGAUCUGGGAGUAGAAAGAGUUCAAAUUAUUGUUUUGCAGAGACGGAGAUGUCCUCAAAAGCUCAUACUCAAAAAAAUCAUUCAAUGGAUUCUUCAGUCAGCAAUCAUACCUUAUACUGCCACCACAGACCUUCAAUGAUACAGUCUACUCCUGCUGGGUAAAUCAUUCAUCCCUAAACAAACCACUAGUGGCCAGUUUAUCAAGCUCGGUCUGCUAUAAGAAAGGGGAUUUAACGGAGGCUCUGGCAGUGGCAUUUGUUAUCUCUGCGGUUUUGACAGUCGUUUUGAUGAUUUUUGUAGUCCUGUAGGCAAAUGUAACAUUAAGUCUCAGGUAUGAACUCUGUGUUUAUAUUAAGCAUCUUAUUUUUUAUUUCUAUUUAAAAUGUCAUUCUGAUUGUGUUACUGAAUACUGGAAUGCUUAUUACCAGAAUUUGUAUUGGUAAACCUUAAUGACCUUGUCUAUGGACAAAAAAUUGUCUAUGAACGUGAUUGUAUUCAAAUGUACAGAUGUUACAGAGCUCCAGACUGUGCCAAAAAUGGUCGCAUUUGCCACCAAAAAAUAUUAAUUUGCUAGUGAAAUUUUUGCUGACAUCGCCACUUCCGGCUAUAUAAACUUACAUGUUGUGACUUUAAAUUUGCGUGUAAUUCUUUUUUUUCCUGCUGGUUUUGCCUGUUGCUAUGUUGACGUUAUAAAGUGACGAUAAAAAACAUUGGCUCCAGUUGGCAGCUUGAGAUAAUCGCAAUAAGCUUUGUGCUGUGUUACCUUUAAAUAAACAAAGUAUCAGCUUUAAAAUUCUGCCAAAUCACGAAUUUGCGAUGAAUGGACACCAAAG